rnacentral:rRNA from 1 species
CAGUCGCCGCGGUAAUACAGAGGGUGCGAGCGUUAAUCGGAUUUACUGGGCGUAAAGCGUGCGUAGGCGGCUUUUUAAGUCGGAUGUGAAAUCCCUGAGCUUAACUUAGGAAUUGCAUUCGAUACUGGGAAGCUAGAGUAUGGGAGAGGAUGGUAGAAUUCCAGGUGUAGCGGUGAAAUGCGUAGAGAUCUGGAGGAAUACCGAUGGCGAAGGCAGCCAUCUGGCCUAAUACUGACGCUGAGGUACGAAAGCAUGGGGAACGAACAGGAUUAGAUACCCCAGUAGUCCCUGUCUCUUAUAA